CCAAGUACUAUGAGAACUUCCAUGAGCCCAACAGAAACAUGUUUGCUGGUGUCCUGAGCUCCAGGGCAAGCUGUUAUGGAAGCCUUCAGACUUUAAUGCAAGCAUGGGACUUUCUCCCCAGCCAAACACAGAUGUGGAAAUUUUUGUGGAGUUGUUGAUGACUGAAGCCUUUUCAGGUGACCAACUUCUGGGAUUCAUGUUGUUGAGGUUAUGUGAACUUAAGAUAAAAGGGAGUAUGAUGAAAAUAACUGGGCUAGCUGGAAACAAAACCACCUGGAAAUGGAGGAGAACAGAGCACAGCAGCUAAACAGCACCAUUCUUUCUGGAAUUGCUUGGAACUGCCUGAGGAUGAUUUGCCUCCAUUAGGGAGUAAUAAACAGAGGACCCUUAGGAAAGGUUCUUUCUACCCUCCAAAGAAGCAAAUGGAAAAAUGCUGCUUUAAAGGCUUCCUCCCCACUUUACAUUCUUCUCUUGGGCCUACUUUAACCACAAACUCUUGCUUUUGUAAAUGCCUUUGUGCCAAAUUCAUAAAGAGCAGCUAAUUUACUGAACCCAUAUUUUCAUAAACUUAUUUUUCUCUUGUG